rnacentral:rRNA from 1 species
GACGAACGCUGGCGGCGUGCUUAACACAUGCAAGUCGAACGGUGAAGCGCCUUCCUUUUUGGUGGGUGUGGAUGAGUGGCGAACGGGUGAGUAACACGUGAGUAACCUGCCCCCUUCUUCUGGAUAACCGCAUGAAAGUGUGGCUAAUACGGGAUAUUCUGGGUCUGUCGCAUGAUGGGUCUGGGAAAGAUAUUGUUUCGGUGGGGGAUGGGCUCGCGGCCUUUCAGCUUGUUGGUGGGGUGAUGGCCUACCAAGGCGGUGACGGGUAGCCGGCCUGAGAGGGUGGACGGUCACACUGGGACUGAGACACGGCCCAGACUCCUACGGGAGGCAGCAGUGGGGAAUAUUGCACAAUGGGCGCAAGCCUGAUGCAGCGACGCCGCGUGAGGGAUGGAGGCCUUCGGGUUGUGAACCUCUUUCGCCAGUGAAGCAGGCCUGCCUCGUUUGUGGGUGGGUUGACAGUAGCUGGAUAAGAAGCGCCGGCUAACUACGUG